rnacentral:rRNA from 1 species
CGGACGACGCUGGCGGCGUGGAUUAGGCAUGCAAGUCGAACGGUAUCAUCCUUCGGGGGUGAGAGAGUGGCGAACUGGUGAGUAACACGUAGGUUAUCUACCCUCAAGACGGGGACAACCCAGGGAAACUUGGGCUAAUACCGGAUGUGAGCAACUUUUAGUUGUUUGAAAGGUGGCGUAAGCUGUCGCUUGGGGAUGAGCCUGCGUCCUAUUAGUUAGUUGGUGAGGUAACGGCUCACCUAGGCAAUGAUAGGUAGGCGGCCUUAACGGGUGGUCGCCCACACUGGGAUUGAGAUACGGCCCAGACUCCUACGGGAGGCAGCAGUCGAGAAUAGUCUACAAUGGUCGGAAGACUGAUAGUGCGACGCCGCGUGAACGAUGAAUCCCUUCGGGGUGUAAAGUUCUUUUAUAUGUGAGCAGUGCUUCUUAUAUUAACAGUAUGGGGAGAGAGAUAUUAGCAUAUGAAUAAGCAACGGCUAACUCCGUG